GAGAGAGAGAGAGAAAGCAAAAACUCAAAAAAUUCCACGCGGAAGAAGAUAGAAAGAAGAUCAUUACGAACGAAAAUCAACCACAUGGACGCACAGCCAGCUGUCAUCGUUGGACAUCGACUCCGUUUCUUUAACCCGUCGCGAGAGCAUAUGGCUGGUUGAGAGAAAGAGAGAAUUAUACAGAGACACGGCCGAGACGACCGAGCGAACAAGAUGAUCGGGAAUGAAAAAGGUGCUGCGAGGCGUCGGUGGUUUUGUUGGUGCCAGAAAGGAGAUCCCCCGCUGAGAAUCGCGCUCAAAGAAACCGACUGCGUCGGCCUUUCCUGGCCCCUCCCUCUCCCUCCUUUCCUUCGUCUGACCAGCUGUCCAUAAAUCUUCGGCCCUAGACAAAAGCAGGAAAAAAAUGAAGGGCAUCAAUUAAAGGCGGCGACUCAGGCCGGACUGAUGACGCUUGAAAAUUCGCCGAUCGAAAGGGCGUAGCGCACCCUUUGGCGCCUCGCGGGCAUAACAGCGAUCGUUGGAGAAUGACGCGCACGUGUCUUCUCAAUCCACUGGAACAGUUGUAAAGUGAGUAAGUUGUAAAGAAGAAGAAAAAAAAGGGGACAUCGAAUUUGAGUAUGAAAGAAAUUUGAAAGAAACGAAAUUGAUUUAGGGAUGGAGUAAGGAAUUACGAUCGAGGAAAUUUGAAAUAUGAAACGAUAGUGGAUUGAAUUAUUUUGUACAUUUGUCGAAAAUAUCGGAGGAAAUGUUUAUUAAAAUUGAAAGCAAACUAAUUUUUACGAUCCGACUUACGCGAGUAUCAAUCAUUUCGAUGAAGUUUAUUUAAAUAUGGAGAAUGAAAUUAAAAUUUAAACAAAUAUAUAUAUGUAUAAAUAGUAGUAUAAAAUAAUAGUCGGCAAAGAGCCGAAUAAAUAAAUUGGAA